rnacentral:lncRNA from 1 species
AGCGCUUCUUCAUUUCUUCAUUUUAUCUGAACCUUAACGUAUCCUUCCAACACAAUGUCCAUGGACAACGGUAAUGAGGUCGGCGCCUACGAGUUUGACCGGAACGCCCUGGACAACAUCGCCCGUCGGCGACAAGAUCGCCCACGCAAGAAAUACAGCCAGCAUCGUCCAGUGGAUGAGUUUGGAGUACAUAAGUUUGCCAGGGCAAACAAUCUAAGUCAAUUUACCGCGUGCCAAUUGGAGGAUGCCUUGUCUCAAAAGUUUGUCCUAGCAUAGCUUGCGUAGCUAGUAUUGCCUGGUUUUAGUUGUUGCAUGUAAGCUUGUGAGUUGGUGGCCUGGUUCAUGCUUAUGGGCGACAAUUGAAAUGCCGGGACAAUGACUUAUUAGGGACAAUGACACGGCAUUUCACGCCCUCAAAGCGGGAACAAACGCUAAAACUAAAUAAAUACAUAGUUCUAAAUCUUCUACUAAAAUUUUCCUGCAGCGUUAGAGGCCUUUAAUUAAUAUUGGCGAACGAUGCUUCCCGCGCUACCGGGAUACUCCCUAUGGCAUAAACAUGCCGG